UCGGACUGGAGUCUGCAACCCGACUCCACGAAGUUGGAUUCGCUAGUAAUCGCGCAUCAGCCAUGGCGCGGUGAAUACGUUCCCGGGCCUUGUACACACCGCCCGUCAAGCCAUGGGAGCCGGGGGCGCCUGAAGUCCGGGACCGCGAGGACCGGCCUAGGGCGAAAACUGGUGACUGGGGCUAAGUCGUAACAAGGUACC
rnacentral:rRNA from 1 species